GAUGAACGCUGGCGGCGUGCCUAAUACAUGCAAGUCGAGCGAACAGAUGAGGAGCUUGCUCCUCUGACGUUAGCGGCGGACGGGUGAGUAACACGUGGAUAACCUACCUAUAAGACUGGGAUAACUUCGGGAAACCGGAGCUAAUACCGGAUAAUAUAUUGAACCGCAUGGUUCAAUAGUGAAAGACGGUUUUGCUGUCACUUAUAGAUGGAUCCGCGCCGCAUUAGCUAGUUGGUAAGGUAACGGCUUACCAAGGCAACGAUGCGUAGCCGACCUGAGAGGGGGGUCCGGCCCCACUGAACCGGAGACCCGUUCCAGACCCCUAGGGGAGGCAGCGGAGGGGAAUCUUCGGCAAUGGGCGAAAGCCUGACGGAGCAACGCCGCGGAGGGAAUGAAGGUCUUCGGUUCGUAAACUCUGUUAUUAGGGAAGAACAAAUGUGUAAGUAACUAUGCACGUCUUGACGGUACCUAAUCAGAAAGCCACGGCUAACUACGUG
rnacentral:rRNA from 1 species